UUUAGGUCAUAAUGUGUUUGAUGUUUUAUAGCAAAAUGACAAAUAUCUUUCUCAACAGCUAAGUACAAAGAGCCAUCAGAAUAAAUCCAACCAAACUGCCCACUACAGGAGGACCUGGGAUGGUGAUGCUGGACUCAAACAGAAGCUGCUAUCCUGGUACACUCCUCAGCUCUGCAGAGGCCACAACUAUGGUGACAACAAUAAAAGUCUGGUUUAUGGGUU